rnacentral:rRNA from 1 species
GAUGAACGCUGGCGGCGUGCCUAAUACAUGCAAGUCGAGCGAACAGACGAGGAGCUUGCUCCUCUGACGUUAGCGGCGGACGGGUGAGUAACACGUGGAUAACCUACCUAUAAGACUGGGAUAACUUCGGGAAACCGGAGCUAAUACCGGAUAAUAUCUUGAACCGCAUGGUUCAAUAGUGAAAGACGGUUUUGCUGUCACUUAUAGAUGGAUCCGCGCCGCAUUAGCUAGUUGGUAAGGUAACGGCUUACCAAGGCAACGAUGCGUAGCCGACGUGAGAGGGGGAUCGGCCACACUGGAACUGAGACACGGUCCAGACUCCGACGGGAGGCAGCAGUAGGGAAUCUUCGGCAAAGGGCGAAAGCCUGACGGAGCAACGCCGCGUGAGUGAUGAAGGGCUUCGGAUCGGAAAACGCUGUUAUUAGGGAAGAACAAAUGUGUAAGUAACUAUGCACGUCUGGACGGUACCUAAGCAGAAAGCCACGGCUAACUACGU